CGUGCUUGUCAUCCACGCGGGAGCAGCCAGGCCAAAACUUAUUCGUGCCGUUCAACCACGGCUGUGGAAAGAAGAACAUAUGGGCUUGUCAAAGGGAGAAUCAUAUGUAUACAGGAGUGGAAUAUUGGCAAGUAGCUACGUCCAUGACAUGACAAGGAUAAACACUAUAGUAGAAGAAGAAAAGAGUAGCCUGCGCAGCAAACGUUUUAGAGGAAAUAGAGAGCGAGAGAGGAGUAUGACGACGCGAAGAUCGGCCAGGAAGGAUGAAGUCAUACUCGCUCUCUUUUUCCGCUGAAACAACACAGGAACGACGCUUGUUUCGCAAGGAAGAGCGGCAAUGGGACCAAUAUGCAUUGACGGAUAAAGAAUAUUCCCCACCUUCCCUAUGAUGAUAAUUGAGGUAGUUGAGGAAGGAUAAGUAGAGCAAAAGGAAUUAAAGAAAGCAAAUAAACAAAUAACUGGUUUUGUCUUGAUGUACUCACAGCAGGGAAAGCUGCAACCUCUCGACUGUAGGGGUAGUCCCAGUGAUCGGACAUCACAACAGCUUGUGGGUGGGGCGCAUUCUAAAAAAUCAUAAGAAUUAAGACAUCUUGUUUAGUCGUUCGUUGUUUUGUCUACCACGAGUCUACACAUAAAUGUAUCUGUAUUGCUUACGUUGAACACGCUUGCAAAUUUUUCCAUGGAAAACAGUUAAAAAACAAUAGGAUACCGCCUACCUUUAGAGGGUUAUUUUUAGGAUCCCAUACUCCGUCUUCAAUGUUACGAAUCUCCUCUCUUAUACCUAAGGGUAAAUAUUGUAAUUAUAAUUGAUAUUGAAGUGUG